GAUCAUGGCUCAGGAUGAACGCUAGCUACAGGCUUAACACAUGCAAGUCGAGGGGCAGCAUGGUCUUAGCUUGCUAAGGCCGAUGGCGACCGGCGCACGGGUGAGUAACACGUAUCCAACCUGCCGUCUACGUCUUGGACAGCCUUCUGAAAGGAAGAUUAAUACAAGAUGGCAUCAUGAGUUCACAUGUUCACAUGAUUAAAGGUAUUCCGGUAGACGAUGGGGA
rnacentral:rRNA from 1 species